rnacentral:lncRNA from 1 species
GCCCCAAGAAGAAAGGCUACACUAGAGGGGAAUGAAGUAAAGAAAAAGAAAGAAAAAAAGAGAAAGAACAGCCGACAAUAUAUUAUGAAUGUAAAAGAUCUUGACGCACAAGAGCCGAUUACCCCCAACUCAAAUAGAGCUCAAAGAAAUUUAGAAAGAAUGCUAUGAUGACCACAUAGAGUCAUGAUGAAGACUCUAGCUCUGAGGAAGAAAAAAGAAUAAAAAAAGAGAAAGCAAAUUCUUUCCUUAUAGCACAUGAGGAUGAGGUAAAUUUCAAUAACUCAAAUUAUUUUACUUUAGAAGAGUUGCAUGAUGCAUUUUAUGAAU